UACGGGGGGGGCAAGCGUUGUUCGGAAUUACUGGGCGUAAAGGGCUCGUAGGUGGCCAACUAAGUCAGACGUGAAAUCCCUCGGCUUAACCGGGGAACUGCGUCUGAUACUGGAUGGCUUGAGAUUGGGAGAGGGAUGCGGAAUUCCAGGUGUAGCGGUGAAAUGCGUAGAUAUCUGGAGGAACACCGGUGGCGAAGGCGGCAUCCUGGACCAACAUUGACACUGAGGAGCGAAAGCCAGGGGAGCAAACGGG
rnacentral:rRNA from 1 species